rnacentral:rRNA from 1 species
AGUCGAACGGAGUUCUUAAGGAAUGCGACUUCGGUCAAAUGACUUUUGAACUUAGUGGCGGACGGGUGAGUAACGCGUGAGCAACCUGCCUUUCAGAGGGGGAUAACAUUUGGAAACAGAUGCUAAUACCGCAUAAGAUUACAGUACCGCAUGAUACAGUGAUCAAAGGAGCAAUCCGCUGAAAGAUGGGCUCGCGUCCGAUUAGAUAGUUGGUGAGGUAACGGCUCACCAAGUCGACGAUCGGUAGCCGGACUGAGAGGUUGAACGGCCACAUUGGGACUGAGACACGGCCCAGACUCCUACGGGAGGCAGCAGUGGGGAAUAUUGCACAAUGGGCGAAAGCCUGAUGCAGCAACGCCGCGUGAGGGAAGACGGUUUUCGGAUUGUAAACCUCUGUUUUCGGUGACGAACAAAUGACGGUAACCGAGUAGGAAGCCACGGCUAACUACGUGCCAGCAGCCGCGGUAAUACGUAGGUGGCAAGCGUUAUCCGGAAUUACUGGGUGUAAAGGGAGCGCAGGCGGGAUAGCAAGUCAGCUGUGAAAACUAUGGGCUCAACCCAUAAACUGCAGUUGAAACUGUUAUUCUUGAGUGGAGUAGAGGCAAGCGGAAUUCCGAGUGUAGCGGUGAAAUGCGUAGAUAUUCGGAGGAACACCAGUGGCGAAGGCGGCUUGCUGGGCUCUAACUGACGCUGAGGCUCGAAAGUGUGGGGAGCAAACAGGAUUAGAUACCCUGGUAGUCCACACUGUAAACGAUGAUUGCUAGGUGUGGGGGGUCUGACCCCCUCCGUGCCGGAGUUAACGCAAUAAGCAAUCCACCUGGGGAGUACGG